rnacentral:lncRNA from 1 species
UGACAAGAAAAUUAUGGGUGUCAUGAAGGAAGGAAGAACGCCAACGUUAAAAAUCAACAUCUAUUGAGGGGUGUUUGGGCGUUACCAGGUUAAGCUAAUGACGUUAAAGAAGCACUACCUGGGAGGUAACCCAGUUUCUAACCUCGUUUCUGAAUCUUUUUCUUUUCUUUUAUUUUAUUUUAUUAGAUUUUAUUUUAUUUUAUUUUAUUAGGGUUAUGUGCUGCUUCUGAUGGCAGUGAUGAUAGCAUCUACUAAUGGAUGCUUCUACAACAUCUACUGAUGGAUGUUAGGUGAUAUGGCAUUUACUGAUGGAUGCCAAUGAAGAUUAGAAAGAUUAGCAUUUACUGAUGAAUGCUACUGGGAUAGCAUCUACUGAGGGAUGCUAGAAGAUUUAGGUAUCUACUGAAGGAUACAGGGAGGUACACCUACUGAUGGGUGUUGGAAGGAAUUGCACUUACUGACAAGUGCUAAACAGGUUUGGGUCAAACUCGUGACGUUAAACAAGUGCUACUAGGAGGCAACCUAGUUUUCUCUCUCUUAUCUUUGCAUUUAAAUUCUUA